AACGCUACCUGGCGUGCCUUUUCAUGCAAGUACAGCGAAUCGAUGGGAGCUUGCUCCCUGAGAUUUCGGCGGACGGGUGAGUAACACGUGGGCAACCUGCCUAUAAGACUGGGAUAACUUCGGGAAACCGGAGCUAAUACCGGAUACGUUCUUUUCUCGCAUGAGAGAAGAUGGAAAGACGGUUUCGGCUGUCACUUAUAGAUGGGCCCGCGGCGCAUUAGCUAGUUGGUGAGGUAAUGGCUCACCAAGGCGACGAUGCGUAGCCGACCUGAGAGGGUGAUCGGCCACACUGGGACUGAGACACGGCCCAGACUCCUACGGGAGGCAGCAGUAGGGAAUCUUCCGCAAUGGACGAAAGUCUGACGGAGCAACGCCGCGUGAACGAAGAAGGCCUUCGGGUCGUAAAGUUCUGUUGUUAGGGAAGAACAAGUACCAGAGUAACUGCUGGUACCUUGACGGUACCUAACCAGAAAGCCACGGCUAACUACGUGCCAGCAGCCGCGGUAAUACGUAGGUGGCAAGCGUUGUCCGGAAUUAUUGGGCGUAAAGCGCGCGCAGGUGGUUCCUUAAGUCUGAUGUGAAAGCCCACGGCUCAACCGUGGAGGGUCAUUGGAAACUGGGGAACUUGAGUGCAGAAGAGGAAAGUGGAAUUCCAAGUGUAGCGGUGAAAUGCGUAGAGAUUUGGAGGAACACCAGUGGCGAAGGCGACUUUCUGGUCUGUAACUGACACUGAGGCGCG
rnacentral:rRNA from 1 species